rnacentral:rRNA from 1 species
CCGCGUGUCUGAAGAAGGCCUUCGGGUUGUAAAGGACUUUUUGUCAGGGGAGCAAAACUUACUGGUUAAUACCCGGUGAGGCUGAGAGUACCUGAAGAAUAAGCACCGGCUAACUACGUGCCAGCAGCCGCGGUAAUACGUAGGGUGCAAGCGUUAAUCGGAAUUACUGGGCGUAAAGCGUGCGCAGGCGGACUUUUAAGCCAGAUGUGAAAGCCCCGAGCUUAACUUGGGAAUUGCGUUUGGAACUGGGAGUCUAGAGUCUGUCAGAGGGGAUGGAAUUCCACGUGUAGCAGUGAAAUGCGUAGAGAUGUGGAGGAACACCGAUGGCGAAGGCAGUCCCCUGGGAUAAGACUGACGCUCAUGCACGAAAGCGUGGGGAGCAAACAGGAUUAGAUACCCUGGUAGUCCACGCCCUAAACGAUGUCUACUAGUUGUUGGGGUAGCAAUACCUCAGUGACGCAGACUAACGCGUGAAGUAGACCGCCUGGGGAGUACGGUCGCAAGAAUUAAAACUCAAAGGAAUUGACGGGG